CCUACGGGAGGCAGCAGUAGGGAAUCUUCCACAAUGGGCGAAAGCCUGAUGGAGCAACGCCGCGUGGGUGAAGAAGGUCUUCGGAUCGUAAAACCCUGUUGUUAGAGAAGAAAGUGCGUGAGAGUAACUGUUCACGCUUCGACGGUAUCUACCCAGAAAGCCACGGCUAACUACGUGCCAGCAGCCGCGGUAAUACGUAGGUGGCAAGCGUUAUCCGGAUUUAUUGGGCGUAAAGGGCACGCAGGCGGUCUUUUAAGUCUGAUGUGAAAGCCUUCGGCUUAACCGGGGUAGUGCAUUGGAAACUGGGAGACUUGAGUGCAGAAGAGGGGAGUGGAACUCCAGGUGUAGCGGUGAAAUGCGUAGAUAUAUGGAAGAACACCAGUGGCGAAAGCGGCUCUCUGGUCUGUAACUGACGCUGAGGUUCGAAAGCGUGGGUAGCAAACAGGAUUAGAUACCCUAGUAGUC
rnacentral:rRNA from 1 species